GGCUACGUGGCUUAAUGGUUACGGCUUCUGCCUCACAAGCAGAAGGUUCAGGGAUCAAGUCCCGGUCGGUACCU
rfam:Culex pipiens quinquefasciatus supercont3.1093 genomic scaffold, whole genome shotgun sequence.